AAUAAGCGGAGGAAAAGAAACUAACAAGGAUUCCCCUAGUAACUGCGAGUGAAGCGGGAAAAGCUCAAAUUUAAAAUCUGGUGGUCUUUGGCCAUCCGAGUUGUAAUUUAGAGAAGCGUCUUCCGCGCUGGACCGUGCACAAGUCUCCUGGAAUGGAGCGUCAUAGAGGGUGAGAAUCCCGUCUUUGGCACGGAUGUACCAGGGCUUUUGUGAUGCGCUCUCGAAGAGUCGAGUUGUUUGGGAAUGCAGCUCAAAAUGGGUGGUGAACUCCAUCUAAAGCUAAAUAUUGGCGAGAGACCGAUAGCGAACAAGUACCGUGAGGGAAAGAUGAAAAGCACUUUGGAAAGAGAGUGAAACAGUACGUGAAAUUGUUGAAAGGGAAACGCUUGAAGUCAGUCGCGUCGACCGAGACUCAGCCUUGCCUCGGCUUGGUGUACUUCUCGGCUGACGGGUCAGCAUCAAUUUUGCCUCUUGGAUAAUGGCGGGGGAAAUGUGACACCUUUACGGUGUGUUAUAGUCUCUCGUCGCAUGCAAGGGUCGGGAUUGAGGAACUCAGCACGCGCCCUCGGGCGUCGGGGCUUUGCCCACGAUACGUGCUUAGGAUGUUGGCGUA
rnacentral:rRNA from 1 species